rnacentral:rRNA from 1 species
GACGAACGCUGGCGGCGUGGAUUAGGCAUGCAAGUCGGACGGUAGGGCUUUAUCGUAAGAUAGAGUUUGAGAGUGGCGAACGGGUGAGUAACACGUAGGAAUCUACCCUUAAGACGGGGACAACCCAGGGAAACUUGGGCUAAUACCGGAUGAGAGUGCGAGAGAUUGCAUUUAAAAGGAUGGCGAAAGUUGUCGCUUAGGGAUGAGCCUGCGGUCUAUUAGUUAGUUGGUGAGGUAAGAGCUCACCAAGGCGAUGAUAGAUAGGCGGCCUUAACGGGUGGUCGCCCACACUGGGAUUGAGAUACGGCCCAGACUCCUACGGGAGGCAGCAGUCGAGAAUAGUCUACAAUGGCCGGAAGGCUGAUAGUGCGACGCCGCGUGAACGAGGGACGCCCGUUCGGGGUGUAAAGUUCUUUUCUAUACGAGCAGUGCUAUAUAUAUGGAUAGUAUAUAUAGAGGGAUAGUAGUAUAGGAAUAAGCAACGGCUAACUCCGUGCCCAGCAGCCGAC